rnacentral:rRNA from 1 species
GACAGAGGGGGCAAGCGUUGCUCGGAAUUACUGGGCGUAAAGCGUGCGCAGGCGGUUUUGUAAGCCAGAUGUGAAAGCCCCGGGCUCAACCUGGGAAUGGCAUUUGGGACUGCAAGGCUGGAGUUUGGCAGAGGAGACUGGAAUUCCUGGUGUAGCAGUGAAAUGCGCAGAUAUCAGGAGGAACACCGGUGGCGAAGGCGGAUUCUCUG